rnacentral:lncRNA from 10 species
CUAUUAGACUAGGCCUUCCUGGCUUCAUGCUUAGAUGAUAGCAGCAUUCUGUUGACUCGUAUCUCCUGUUUCUUUUUCUCGUAUACUUACUCAACAAAUAUUUGAGUUUCUUCUGUGUGCCAGACACUGUGUUAGGCACUGGGAAUAGAAAGAUUAAUAAGAAACUCCCUCACUAUAAAGAACUCACAGCCUAGUGAGAAAGUUUGACAAAGAAAUAACCCGUUGCAGUGUAGAUGUAUAAAAAGUGCUGUGGCAAACAUCGUUAGAAGAUCUGUGGGAGGUGCACCUUGGAUAGGUCACAGAAAGCUUCCCAGAAGUGAUGUCCAAGUGGAGCCUGAAAAGGCGAGCAUUGUAAUUGACUAGGGCUUCUGUCUGG